rnacentral:rRNA from 1 species
GUGAACAAUUAAGGGCGCGCGGUGGAUGCCUAGGCUCUCGGAGGCGAAGAAGGACGCGAUAAGCCGCGAUAGUCCACGGCGAGGUGCAAGUAACCCUUGACCCGUGGGUUUCCGAAUGGGGCAACCCGGCCGUCUAGAUGACGGUCAUGCAUUAUCAUGCAGGCGAACGCGGGGAACUGAAACAUCUCAUUACCCGCAGGAGAAGAAAACAAAAUGUGAUUCCCCCAGUAGUGGCGAGCGAACGGGGAAGAGCCCAAACCGCUGCCGUUUCGGCGACAGCGGGGUCAUGGGACCACGCCAUUCGAAACAAGAUGAAGUGCAAUUACCUGGAAAGGUAAGCCGCGGAGGGUGAUAGCCCCGUGCACGUCAAUUCUUGUGGAGAUAGUGGAAUCCCGAGUAGGGCGGGACACGAGAAAUCCUGCCUGAAUUCGCCAGGACCUCCUGGCAAGGCUAAAUACUCCCGAGAGACCGAUAGUGAACCAGUACCGUGAGGGAAAGGUGAAAAGAACCCCGAGCAGGGGGGUGAAAUAGACCCUGAACCCGCGCGCCUACAAGCGGUCGGAGCCACGCGAUGUGGUGACGGCGUGCCUUUUGCAUAAUGAGCCUACGAGUUAGUCGUCACCAGCGAGGUUAAGGGCUUCAGGCCCGUAAGCCGAAGUGAAAGCGAGCCUUAACAGGGCGUCAAGUUGGUGGCGCUAGACGCGAAACCUUGUGAUCUACCCACGAGCAGGUUGAAGUCGCGGUAACACGUGAUGGAGGACCGAACCGGUAAACGUUGAAAAGUUUUCGGAUGACUCGCGGGUAGGGGUGAAAGGCCAAUCAAACUGGGAAAUAGCUCGUACUCUCCGAAAUGCAUUUCGGUGCAGCCUGUGAUGUUCUGUUCCAGAGGUAGAGCUACUGGUUGGACGCGAGGGCUUCACCGCCUAUCAAAUCCGGAUAAACUCCGAAUGCUGGAACACGAAAUCAUGGAGUGAGCCCGCGGGUGCUAAGGUCCGCGGACGAGAGGGAAAGAACCCGGACCACCGGCUAAGGUCCCGGAUGGACAGUUAAGUUGAUCAAACGAGGUGGGAUCGCGGAGACAGCUAGGAUGUUGGCUUGGAAGCAGCCAUUCAUUUAAAGAGUGCGUAACAGCUCACUAGUCGAGCGAUCCCGCGUGGAUAAUACACGGGCAUUAAACUGUCAACCGAAGCCGUGGGGUCAGCGAAAAGCUGACCGGUAGGAGAGCAUUCCUGCCAGCGUCGAAGGUCACCCGCGAGAGUGACUGGAGCGGCAUGAAAAGCAAAUGUAGGCAUAAGUAACGAUAAUGGGGGCGAGAACCCCCCACGCCGCAAGACCAAGGCUUCCCCGGCAAUGUCAAUCAGCCGGGGGUCAGCCGGCCUCUAAGGCUAACCCGAAGGGGGAUGCCGACGAGAAACGGGUUAACAUUCCCGUGCUUCUCGUCACCGUGACGCGGUGACGGGGUGAUGAAUGGACCGCGCGCUGACGGAAUAGCGCGUUGAAGGCCGUACCCUUCGAGGGUGGUAGUCAAGCACGCCACCCGAGGCGAUAGCCGAUAGUACCACGAGACUCCGGUCGAGUGGAUAGCGUCCAGGCAAUUUACCCCCGAGAAAACCCGCUAAACUUCAAGUGACGAGGAACCGUACUGUAAACGGACACACGUGGUCGGGUAGAACAUACCAAGGCGCUCGAGUGAUUCAUGGUCAAGGAACUAGGCAAAAUAGUCCUGUAACUUCGGGAAAAAGGACGCUCUAGUGAUAGAGCCGCAGAGUAAUGGCCCAGGCGACUGUUUACCAAAAACACAUGGCUAUGCCAAAUCGAAAGAUGACGUAUAUGGCCUGACACCUGCCCGGUGCCGGAAGGUUAAGAGGAGAGCUCAUCGGAAACGAGAAGGUUUGAAUUGAAGCCCCGGUAAACGGCGGCCGUAACUAUAACGGUCCUAAGGUAGCGAAAUUCCUUGUCGGGU